rnacentral:rRNA from 1 species
AUUGAACGCUGGCGGCAGGCCUAACACAUGCAAGUCGAACGAGUGGCGGACGGGUGAGUAAUGUCUGGGAAACUGCCUGAUGGAGGGGGAUAACUACUGGAAACGGUUGCUAAUACCGCAUACCAUCGGAUGUGCCCCGCUGGGAUUAGCUAGUAGGUGGGGUAAAGGCUCACCUAGGCGACGAUCCCGAGCUGGUCUGAGAGGAUGACCAGCCACACGGGAACGGAGACACGGACCAGAGUCCUACGGGAGGGAGCAGUGGGGAAUAGUGCACAAUGGGCGCAAGCCUGAUGCAGCCAUGGCGCGUGUAUGAAGAAGGCCGUCGGGUUGUAAAGUACUUUCAGCGGGGAGGCGGUACCCGCAGAAGAAGCACCGGCUAACUACGUGCCAGCAGCCGCGGUAAUAC